ACACAUGCAAGUCGAACGAUGAACCGCUUUCGGGCGGGGAUUAGUGGCGAACGGGUGAGUAACACGUGGGCAAUCUGCCCUGCACUCUGGGACAAGCCCUGGAAACGGGGUCUAAUACCGGAUAUGACUGUCCGCCGCAUGGUGGAUGGUGUAAAGCUCCGGCGGUGCAGGAUGAGCCCGCGGCCUAUCAGCUUGUUGGUGAGGUAGUGGCUCACCAAGGCGACGACGGGUAGCCGGCCUGAGAGGGCGACCGGCCACACUGGGACUGAGACACGGCCCAGACUCCUACGGGAGGCAGCAGUGGGGAAUAUUGCACAAUGGGCGAAAGCCUGAUGCAGCGACGCCGCGUGAGGGAUGACGGCCUUCGGGUUGUAAACCUCUUUCAGCAGGGAAGAAGCGAAAGUGACGGUACCUGCAGAAGAAGCGCCGGCUAACUACGUGCCAGCAGCCGCGGUAAUACGUAGGGCGCAAGCGUUGUCCGGAAUUAUUGGGCGUAAAGAGCUCGUAGGCGGCUUGUCACGUCGGUUGUGAAAGCCCGGGGCUUAACCCCGGGUCUGCAGUCGAUACGGGCAGGCUAGAGUUCGGUAGGGGAGAUCGGAAUUCCUGGUGUAGCGGUGAAAUGCGCAGAUAUCAGGAGGAACACCGGUGGCGAAGGCGGAUCUCUGGGCCGAUACUGACGCUGAGGAGCGAAAGCGUGGGGAG
rnacentral:rRNA from 1 species